UUUUCUGUCCUUUCUGUUUGCUCCCAGUAUGAAUCUUUCUUUGAGUUUGGCAUCACAAAAAGCAUACCCUUAGGUCUUGUAGUUCUGUAAUGGCCUCCAUAGUCUCUUAAUUAUUCGAACACUUUAUCUCCUAGGAUGCUGACAAGCCCACGUUCGGUCCUGCUUCCUUUCUGAAGGGCUUGCUCUGAUUUCAAAGUCUGCUAUAUAAAUUGUUUAUAGAGCCUCAACUGAAAAUACUUGUUCUUGAUUCAGGAUGAGGACCAGGAGAGGAAAGCGUGCUGAGGUAUGCUUAAUUGCUCCUUGACUUGGCUUUCUGGCCUUCACUUGUGAUGAAGAAAUGGUUGAACAUAAAGCACAAGGUUAAUGAUUUUAGUGAAGAUGAAUACACAGAAACUGAGAGUGAAGAUGAUGCUCCCUCUGUUAAAGAUGACAGAGUUAAUGUGGAUGAGGAUCGAGCACAUAGGAUUCAGGGGAACCAAUCUGUGUUUCGGAGUCAAAUUUCAGAUGCACCUUCUAAGGGCUAUUCAUCAGGACAUAGGAGAGGGAAAUCUGAAACUCUGCGUGCUCAAUACAUAAAUACAAAGGAUGUGAGGGUGACAAUAGGUACUUGGAAUGUCGCUGGAAGGCUUCCGAACGAGGAUCUUGAUAUUGAUUGUUGGCUUUGUACAGAAGAACCAGCAGAUAUUUACAUCAUCGGUUUCCAAGAGGUGGUCCCUUUGAAUGCUGGGAAUGUACUGGGAGCAGAGAGUAGCAGACCAAUUCCAAAAUGGGAGGCAAUCAUUAGAAGGACUCUGAACAAAUCUCACCAAGCUGAAAGCAAACACAAAUGUUUUAGUGCCCCACCCUCACCAGUAUUAAGAACUUCUUCAGUUGCCGAUGAACUUGCCGACGAGGUUGAUUCUCUACCAUUAGAGGUGAUGAAUGAGGAAUAUAUUGAAGCUGCUGAUGGUUGUGAAUCUGACAUACUUGAAUUUGGCAAAGCUAUUGGUAUUGGAAAGAAUUUACACUUGAAGAGAGUAUAUGGCAUCGAUUGUGAUGGUAAGUUAGACUGGCCUGAACAUUCAUUGGCUGCGACCCCACAAGUUAUCUCUUCCAAUUCCAAGCUACGGAGAGUGUCUAGCAGUUCUGCAAGAAUAGGUUUCAAUUGGUCAGAGAAUCCCUCAUUAUUUAGUCCUCAGCAUAUUGCAUUGAACAGGAGUGGACUAAAAAGAUCUCACCAGAGUUCUGGAAAUUUAGGCUCAAUGUGGUUGGAGCGGGAGCAGAGGCAUGAGGUUCCUGAAGUCCCAGAAGUUCCUGAGGUUAUUGAUUCAUUCUCCGAGGUCUCUGAUUGGUUAUCUGAAGCAGAGGAUGACACUUUCUUAGAAGUACCAAGCGAACAAUAUUACAGUGAAAUCAUCAAAGAUAAUGAUGAUCCACGCCCAAAGUAUGUGCGAAUUGUUAGCAAGCAAAUGGUAGGAAUAUAUGUAUCAAUUUGGGUGCGUAAGAGAUUGAGGAGGCAUAUAAACAACUUGGAGGUCUCUCCUGUUGGGGUAGGUCUUAUGGGCUAUAUGGGAAACAAGGGAUCUGUUUCUGUUAGCAUGUCUGUUUUCCAGUCAAGGCUUUGCUUUGUUUGUUCCCAUCUGACCUCAGGUCAGAAAGAUGGGGCUGAACAAAGGCGUAAUGCUGAUGUCUGUGAAAUUAUUCGACGCACCCGUUUCUCAUCUAUCUUGGACACCAAUCAAGCACAGACAAUUCCAUCCCAUGAUCAGAUAUUCUGGUUUGGAGAUUUGAAUUAUCGUCUCAAUAUGUUGGACACAGAAGUCAGGAAACUUGUUGCUAUGAAGCAAUGGGAUGAACUCAUCAAUAGUGAUCAGCUAAGCAAAGAACUCUGCGGUGGGCGUGUAUUUGAAGGAUGGAAAGAGGGAGCGAUAAACUUUCCGCCAACUUACAAAUAUGAAAUAAACUCUGAUACAUAUGUUGGGGAGAACCCCAAAGAAGGGGAGAAGAAGAGAUCUCCGGCAUGGUGUGAUCGAAUACUUUGGUUAGGAAAAGGUAUAAAACAACUUUCUUACAAGCGGUCAGAAUUAAGGCUCUCAGAUCAUCGACCAGUCAGUUCAAUGUUCUUAGUUGAAGUUGAAGUCUUGGAUCAUCGGAAGCUGAAGAAAGCUCUCAAUGUCAAUAGUGCGGCAGUGCAUCCUGAGAUUUUCCUCGACUGAUGUGGGAAUUAGAACUUUAGCAGAUAAAAGCUUUUUAUUGAAUAGAAGAAGCCUUGGACCAUUGUCCAAAUGACCUUAGCUUAAACCUGCUCUAACAGUAUCAUGUGCUGAUAUUUUAGCCAUUGCUGCUGGUGAUGCUGCUGCAGCGAUAUAUAUAAUGCUUGGUAGAGAGGUGGCCCAAGUCGGGAAGUUCAUCGAGGCAGAAAGGACUCCCUGAAGUCAAGUUCUGACCGCGCCGAUCAGUUUAUCCCUGCACCAAAUCCCACUUUGGAGACUCUAAUUGCCAAUUUUAAGCAACAGGGUCUGGACAUAGGAGACUUGGUUGCUUUAUCAGAGAUUGGAAGAACGAGUGCAAAGAAUUCAUGAAGAAUUCCAAGAAUAGCUAGAACAAAGACAUGAGGAUUCCUUGUAGAAUCAGAAACAAUGGGAGGAACAGUUCAAGAAUGAAUAAUUCAAAACACAUUUGGAUUCAAUAAUGACUGCACUGCAAACCAUGGUGUAAAACCCUGAGAAAGAAGAAAUGAGGAAUCAUAACUCUAAUGGAAGAAUCGGUCCUUCCAUGGAGUGUAAAGAAUAGCGUUGUAGAUAUCUUGUGGUGCGUAAAGUUGUAUGUAUCUCAUAAUGAGUGAGGCAAUAAUGGAGAUUGAUCUUGUAGAAAAUGAAGAAAAAAUAAAUAGAAUUGAUAGGAAAAAAAAAUUGGUGGGUCGAGUCGGAUAUCAUGCUGGAGUGUUUGGCUGUUUGGGGGCUGGCUCAAAUGUCCUAGACUUCCGAGCCCAAACGGCUAGGUAAUUUUAUUGUAAAGCCCAUUCUAGAUCUAUGAAACAACUUCAUCUUUGUUA